GCGCUCGUUCAGCAGCACAGGGACAAAAGUCGGAGUGAUACAGAGAUCAGCAUGGGCCUACACAAGGAUGACACACAAACUCAUGAUGUCCCAACCCUGAGU
rnacentral:snRNA from 1 species